GACGAACGCUGGCGGCGCGCUUAACACAUGCAAGUCGAACGGAAAGGCCUGCUUUCCCUUGUGGAUUGCGGGUACUCGAGUGGCGAACGGGUGAGUAACACGUGAGUGAUCUGCCCCCAACUCGGGUAUAAGCCUGGGAAACUGGGUCUAAUUCCCGAUAGGACUGCAGGGUGGUGCCUGUGGUGGAAAACGAUUUUCUAGUGGUUGGGGAUGAGCUCGCGGCCUAUCAGCUUGUUGGUGGGGUAAUGGCCUACCAAGGCGGCGACGGGUAGCCGGCCUGAGAGGGUGGACGGCCACAUUGGGACUGAGAUACGGCCCAGACUCCUACGGGAGGCAGCAGUGGGGAAUAUUGCACAAUGGGCGGAAGCCUGAUGCAGCGACGCCGCGUGGGGGAUGACGGCCUUCGGGUUGUAAACUCCUUUCGACCGCGAGGAAGCCACCUGGUUGGAAGGGUGGUGACGGUAGUGGUAGAAGAAGCACCGGCUAACUACGUG
rnacentral:rRNA from 1 species